UAAGCGCCAGGUCCAUUCUUAGCAUUGCUGGUUUGCUUUCCUAAGAAACCUCAAGUACACCAAUCUUCUCUGCCUCUCUAAUACAUUCCAAAUAACCUUGUACUAUAUUCAUAGUAUAUAUUAAGCUUAAAAAAUCUCAGGUACUAUGGCUCCAGGAGUGCCCAUGGAUGUGAUUUCCUGCACCGGCAAGGUUUCCACGGCUAGCACUGGCUACUCUAAAAGGGCCUUUGUAACAUUUUUAGCCGGUAAUGGGGAUUAUGUUAAAGGGGUAGUUGGGCUGGCGAAGGGUUUGCGCAAGGUGAAGAGUGCAUACCCUCUGGUGGUAGCAAUGUUGCCAGAUGUGCCUGAGGAACACCGUGCCAUUUUGAGGUCUCAAGGUUGCAUUGUUCGGGAGAUUGAGCCUAUUUAUCCACCUGAGAACCAGAUUCAGUUUGCCAUGGCCUACUACGUGAUCAACUACUCCAAGCUCCGCAUUUGGAAUUUCGAGGAGUACAGCAAGAUGAUGUAUUUGGAUGCCGAUAUCCAAGUAUUCGAGAAUAUAGACCAUCUAUUUGACACCCAAGAUGGCUACUUCUAUGCCGUGAUGGACUGCUUCUGUGAGAAAACCUGGAGCCACUCACCACAAUACUCUAUCGGUUACUGCCAGCAGUGCCCGGAAAAGGUGACAUGGCCAGCUGAGAUGGGCUCUCCUCCUCCCUUGUACUUCAAUGCUGGGAUGUUUGUCUUUGAGCCUAGUCGUUUGACUUUUGAGAGCCUUCUUGAAACUCUCCAGAUUACCCCACCAACCCCAUUUGCUGAGCAAGAUUUCUUAAAUAUGUUUUUCCAAAAAACAUACAAGCCAAUCCCUCUAAUGUACAAUCUGGUUUUAGCCAUGCUAUGGCGACAUCCUGAGAAUGUGGAGGUCGAAAAGGUUAAAGUGGUUCACUACUGUGCUGCUGGUUCAAAACCUUGGAGAUAUACUGGCAAGGAAGCUAACAUGGACAGAGAGGACAUCAAGAUGCUAGUGGCAAGAUGGUGGGACAUAUAUAAUAACGAGUCCCUCGAUUUCAAGGGGGGGAACUCAGUUCCAGAAGAAGAAACAUUAUCGAGGCCAUCCAUCUUGUCUUCCAAGCCUGAGCCUGCCAUUUCCUACAUCUCUGCGCCAUCUGCUGCCUAAACUUCUUGAUGAAGAUAGUUUAAAAACUGGUGUAAUCCCAUCCUUCCUUUAAUUUUGUCUUUCAGGAUAAACCCUUUUUCAGGCUGCUUGUGCUAAUUAUUUUCUUGCUCGGUGACUUUACAUGCAAGACACUGUGGUGUUAUAUAAGGUGUUCUUGUAUUUGAAAUAGUAUUCAUACGAAUCUCUAUUGGUAAACUUCGAUCCCUCCUCCUCUUUAAUCUAGCUUGUAAUUAGCCUUUUAAGGUUAUAA